CUUGUCCGCUCUGCCUGUGCCCCGUCUCUAUGGCGGACCCAACGGCCGUCCAGGACGUGGAGCGAGAUGAGCUGGGAUGCUGACGGCGGCAGUGGCGCCGAGGUGGCUGCACUGUCGGACAAGGGCAGUCCCGGGGAGGACGGUUUCGUCCCGUCGGCGCUGGGGACCCGCGAGCAUUGGGAUGCUGUCUAUGAGAGAGAACUGCAAACUUUCCGAGAAUUUGGAGAUACAGGUGAAAUCUGGUUUGGAGAAGAGAGUAUGAACCGACUAAUAAGGUGGAUGCAGAAACACAAGAUUCCAUUGGAUGCUUCAGUGCUUGAUAUUGGAACUGGAAAUGGUGUUUUCCUGGUUGAACUUGCAAAAUUUGGUUUCUCUGAUAUUACUGGAAUUGAUUACUCUCCUUCUGCAAUUCAGCUUUCUGGAAGUGUUAUAGAAAAAGAAGGUUUAUCUAACAUUAAGUUAAAGGUAGAAGACUUUUUGAAUCUCUCCACACAGCUGUCUGGAUUUCAUAUUUGUAUUGACAAAGGGACUUUUGAUGCCAUAAGCCUUAAUCCUGACAAUGCAAUUGAGAAGAGGAAGCAAUAUGUGAAAUCUCUUUCCAGGGUGUUGAAAGUAAAAGGCUUUUUUCUGAUAACGUCAUGUAAUUGGACCAAGGAAGAGUUGCUAAAUGAAUUCAGUGAAGGGUUACCUGGAACCAGUUGUCCAUGUUCUAAUUUGAUGUCCAAGGGACUUGACUUCAUGACAAUGAACGAAAGCAAUAACCACCCAUCUUACUUCAGAAGUAAUGUUGGAGUACAGUGGCAGGAUUUUGGCUCACUGCAGCCUUGACUUCCUGGGCUCAAGUGAUCCUUUCACUUCAGCCUCCUGAGUAGCUGGAACUACAGGCACACAUCAUCAUCCUGGAUAAUUUUUAUAUUUUUAGUAGAGACGGGGUGUUGCCAUGCUGUCCAGGCUGGUCUCGAACUCCUGUGCUCAAGUGAUUCUCCCACCUGGGCCUCCCAAAGUGCUGGGAUUACACCAUGCCAGGCCCCGGUUGGCAUUUUAGAUUUGAACUUUUCGAAGAGCUGCCAACACCCAAGUUCAGCUUUGGAGGCAGAUCUGGAAACAGUGUAGCAGCAUUGGUUUUCCAAAAAAUGUGAGACUUUUUCUUGGACAAAUUCAGGUAGCUACACAGAAUCUACACAGCAAAGUUAACCUGACACAGAAAAUCCUUGUGUAAAUAAAUGCUUAGUGAGUACACAGGAUGCACAUGUUGAAAUAGAAUAUACUGGAUUGGUAAAAGAAAAUAAUAAUAAUAAGCAUCUAAGUGGUUGGGUUUUAGAGAUCAAUCAAUAAUUUUUAAUUUUCUUUUGUAUUUGAAAUGUAAAUAGUUUUUGAUUAAAAAGAUUUUCUGUAACUGCUAAACAGUUAAAAACUUUAAAGUAGUAAAUGAGUUUAUAGAAACCAUGUAUUCUUGAUUUUUGCGCCUUGGUAAAGUUGAAAACUAUUUAUGAAGAUUUGACCAAAUUAUUCCAGCAUCAGAAUAAUAAGCAAAACAACGUUGUUAGUGUUUUGUUAGACUAUUUAUGAAAUAUAACAAGAAAUAUUAUUUUGUGUUGGAUGGUGGUUAUUCUUAAACUUAAUACCUGUGAAAAGGCCUCUUACCUUUAUGUAUAUAAUUAAACAAAAUCAGAGAAAUACAUCAGUUGCUCAAAAGUUAUCAAGCCUGCAUUUUGCAGCUAUGAUCUUCUAUACACUGUAAGGGAUAAACAGGUAGUAGAAGGAAAGAGAACUAAGGAAUAUUAUUAUUUGCUAGUGCUAUGUUGAGUUGUCUUAUUAAGUAAUUGAAUCCUUUCAAUAUCUUCUUGAGGUAUGUAUUGCUUGUUCUUGUUUCUACUUAUAAGGAAAAUGAAACUGAGAGAAGUGAAGUCACUUUUAUGAGGUCCAGCAGUACAGGAGGGAGCCAGGAUUUUUAUCUGGGUCUGUCUGACUUUAAAACACAUUCUCUUCUAGCACAUUCUCCCUCACAGGUGCUAAGUCUCUGCCUUUAUAGCAUUUACAGUACAGCUGGAGACCUAUGAUGAUAUAAAGUUUAGUUACAAAAGAUGGGUAGUUAUUUUGUUAGUGUUCAUCUGUGCAGUAUCAGAAUAGCAGCCAGUCAACUCUGUCUCAUAUCAUCCUUCAUUAAUUUUCCCCAUCUCCGUACUCAAAGACUUGCUUCUAUUAAGAAUUUUGUCAUUCUUCUGUGAAAGAGUAGUGUAAGUUAUAUAAGCCUUCAGCGAUACAUGCACAAAGAUAUUCUAGUUAGGAGUUAAUUUAGCAAGAGAAACAGUUUAGUAAUGUUUUUGAAAAGAUAAGGCAUAUUCAUACUUAAUACCAUUAUGUAUUUGUGGUAACAUUUUAAUAUUGGAGCCAUAAUACACAUUUUUGCAUAAUUUUUUGAAGAUUUUCAGCUUUGUGUGCCGGUUGGGUUACAUAACUAACAGACUUUUUGUUUAUUUGGCAAAUGUUACUCCUGUAUUGAGUAAAUCUAACAUUAUGUCCCUUUUCUUUUUGGGGAGGGGUAGACGGGGGAGUGAGUUUUUCAUUUAGAUAAACAUUGAUCAACCAUUAAGACAAGAUGGUUGAAGACAUAUAUGUGGACUUUCAACAAAAAUAACAUUUUUGAAAAGCUUUUAUUUUCAACAUGUAAAAACUGAGAAAUUACUUCAAAAUUAUGCAAUUUAAAUUUUUUACAAAAUUUUGUUGAUUUUACAAGACAGGAGAUCUUAAACUGUAGAUAGUUUUAUAGUUUUUGAGAUCUGGUCUUUGUCUUUUUUUCACAUUAAUAUUCUUUGAUUUCAAAUAUAACAUAGAUAAGUACUCUUUUAGAAUUUUGAGUUAAGUAUAUGCUAUUUUAAUGCACUAAUCCUACAAACUAGGCUUUCUGUGUGACUAGACUGAGAUGUUGAGUCUGAUUCACAAAAAGCUUGGAAUGGUUCUUUGUUGAGAAGUUUUUCGAGUCACUAUUUGGAGCAUGUUUGUGCCAUUUGUAAAGGUGAAGUUUUUUAUUUAUUUAUUUUUUUAACCAUAGAGCUUUUUGAUAAGAUUAGGAAAAGGAAGUUGUCAUCUCUUCUUAUUACUCUAAUCCUGCUGGAAGCUAGCUUCUUGGGGACUAAAACCAGAACAAAUGGAAGGUCCAAAAAUGCUAAUAAGAAAUUAGUAUUUUCACAUAAUACCAAACUGUUAAAAACAAGGCCAGCAAAUGUCCUCAGGUUCCUGAAACAAACCAUAAAUACAUUAUUUAACUUAGUAUUGUUAAAUUGUAUAAAUAUGUGGGUAACUGUGACAAAUUAUGCAGUUAUAAAAAGGGGCAGUAAGUUACGUAGUGAAUGCUAUUUUCUGUGGAUAAGAAUUUGGAAUUGUAAUUUCAUUUAAUCGAAAGACGCUUAUUUUGAAGAAACUUGUUUGAAAUGCAAACGCAAUUUCUCAGUGCAGCCUGCCUGGAAUUGCUGCUUUUCACUACGAUGUUAUUGCUGCACAGGCCACUUCUGUGUAUAGGAAGUACGUGUGCAAAUCCAAAGGGAAUUGAGGCCUGAAUGGGUGGGUUACACCAAUUAACAAAUACAAAGUUUUCAGUACAUUUUGUUUUAAGCCAGGUGCACAAGUUAGAGUUGCUUUUUGGGACUGGCAUUUAUGUAUGUGAGAAUCAAACCUGAUAUCACUCUUGGCAGUCUGACUAAAGCCAUUUAAAAAUAA